rnacentral:rRNA from 1 species
UACAGAGGAGCCAAGCGUUGUCCGGAUUGACUGGGCGUAAAGCGCACGCAGGCGGACGCGCGCGUGGGGUGUGAAAUCUGGCCGCUUAACGGCCAGGCGCCAUCCCAUACGGCGUGUCUGGAGUGAUGCAGAGGUCGGUGGAAUUGCCGGUGUAGUGGUGAAAUGCGUAGAUAUCGGGAGGAACACCAGUGGCGAAGGCGAACUACCUGGCCCUGUUCUUGACGCUGAGGCGCGAAAGCUA